rnacentral:rRNA from 1 species
AACGAACGCUGGCGGCAUGCCUAAUACAUGCGAGUCGAACGAGAUCUUCGGAUCUAGUGGCGCACGGGUGCGUAACGCGUGGGAAUCUGCCCUUGGGUUCGGAAUAACUUCUGGAAACGGAAGCUAAUACCGGAUGAUGACGUAAGUCCAAAGAUUUAUCGCCCAAGGAUGAGCCCGCGUAGGAUUAGCUAGUUGGUGGGGUAAAGGCCCACCAAGGCGACGAUCCUUAGCUGGUCUGAGAGGAUGAUCAGCCACACUGGGACUGAGACACGGCCCAGACUCCUACGGGAGGCAGCAGUAGGGAAUAUUGGACAAUGGGGGAAACCCUGAUCCAGCAAUGCCGCGUGAGUGAUGAAGGCCUUAGGGUUGUAAAGCUCUUUUACCCGGGAUGAUAAUGACAGUACCGGGAGAAUAAGCGCCGGCUAACUCCGUG